rnacentral:lncRNA from 1 species
ACGGAGUGGGUUUAUCAGCACUCAUAAAAAAAUUUCUUACAUCCGGCCGGCCGUAUACGGCGGUGCACUCGCAAACACAACACAAAAUUAAAUCCACCACUAGAAAAGAAAAAGAAAACUCAGAUUCCGAGUUGAACACUCACAUUUCGUAGACACAACACGAACUUAUUCCUCAUAUUCCGAGUUGAACACUCACAUUCCGCGGAUUCGUACAACGUUUUUGGUACACAAAACAUCGAUUUUAACUUAAAAAGUAGCACAUAAGCUAUGGGAGUAGUUUGCUUUCUCACUUCCGAAUCUCUGUCUGACCGAAAAAAAAAAAUAAAAUAACAAGAGAAGGCGGGGAAAGACAAAGGAUCCCCAUAAACCCCAUUUUCUAUCUACAUUCUCAAGAUUCUCUCUCCACAUCU